rnacentral:rRNA from 1 species
UACGGAAGUGGCGAGCGUUAUCCGGAUUUACUGGGCGUAAAGCGUUCGUAGGCGGCGUGGCCAGUCGGAUUUGAAAUCCCGGGGCUCAACUCCGGAACUGGAUCCGAUACUACCAUGCUUGAGCAAAUCAGAGGGCAGUGGAAUUCCCGGUGUAGCGGUAAUAUGCGUAGAUAUCGGGAGGAACACCAGUGGCGAAGGCGGCUGCCUGGGGUUUUGCUGACGCUGAGGAACGAAAGCCAGGGGAGCGAACGGGAUUAGAUACCCCCGUA